rnacentral:ncRNA from 1 species
CUUUAGUAAAAGUUUGUUACUCGAGCCGCAAAGGGAAGCUAAAGAAUUAGAAGGAAAAGGGUGAGAGACGUAAGAAAUUGCCGCCACUUACAGGGAGAGGGUUUUUUCGUCUGUGCUAGUCAACCCCACUAGACCCUUUUAACUUCG